GCCGAGAUCGCAUAGCCUGGUUAUUGCACUGGAUUGCUAAUCCAGGUCCUUUGGGACUCCUGGGUUCAAAUCCCAGUCUCGGCG
rnacentral:tRNA from 1 species